GUUCAAACACAGCAGCAUUCUCCUGUGUCUUUUCCUUAUAAGUAAGAACAAGGCUCCCUGACCGGCAGCCCUCACCUUUCUGAGCUGUCUGUGAACUCGCAGGGGGGAGUGGCCCCUGCCAACGUGACCUUGUCUCCCAACCUGAGCCCCGACACCAAGCAGGCCUCUCCCUUGAUCAGCCCGCUGCUGAAUGACCAGGCCUGCCCCCGGACGGACGAUGAGGAUGAGGGCCGGAGGAAGAGAUUCCCAACUGAUAAAGCGUACUUCAUAGCUAAGGAAGUGUCUACCACCGAGCGAACAUAUCUGAAGGAUCUCGAAGUUAUCACUUCGUGGUUUCAGAGCACAGUGAGCAAAGAGGACGCCAUGCCAGAAGCACUGAAAAGUCUCAUAUUCCCGAAUUUUGAACCUUUGCACAAAUUUCAUACCAAUUUUCUCAAGGAAAUUGAGCAACGACUUGCCCUGUGGGAAGGCCGCUCAAAUGCCCAAAUCAGAGAUUACCAAAGAAUCGGCGAUGUCAUGCUGAAGAACAUUCAGGGCAUGAAGGCUGGAGUGCAGUGGCGCGAUCUCGGCUCACUGCAGCCUCCGCCUCCCAGGUUCAAGUG
rnacentral:sRNA from 1 species